AUUGAACGCUGGCGGCAUGCUUUACACAUGCAAGUCGAACGGCAGCGCGGGCUUCGGCCUGGCGGCGAGUGGCGAACGGGUGAGUAAUACAUCGGAACGUGCCCAGUAGUGGGGGAUAGCUCGGCGAAAGCCGGAUUAAUACCGCAUACGACCUGAGGGUGAAAGCGGGGGAUCUUCGGACCUCGCGCUAUUGGAGCGGCCGAUGGCAGAUUAGCUAGUUGGUGGGGUAAAGGCCUACCAAGGCGACGAUCUGUAGCUGGUCUGAGAGGACGACCAGCCACACUGGGACUGAGACACGGCCCAGGCUCCUACGGGAGGCAGCAGUGGGGAAUUUUGGACAAAGGGCGAAAGCCUGAUCCAGCAAUGCCGCGUGUGUGAUGAAGGCCUUCGGGUUGUAAAGCACUUUUGGCGGGAACGAAAAGGACUGUGCCAAUACCACGGUUCGAUGACGGUACCCGCAGAAUAAGCACCGGCUAACUACGUG
rnacentral:rRNA from 1 species